UACAGAGGGGGCAAGCGUUGUUCGGAAUUACUGGGCGUAAAGGGCGCGUAGGCGGCCUUCUAAGUCGAACGUGAAAUCCCUGGGCUCAACCCAGGAACUGCGUCCGAUACUGGGAGGCUUGAAUCCGGGAGAGGGAUGCAGAAUUCCAGGUGUAGCGGUGAAAUGCGUAGAUAUCUGGAGGAAUACCGGUGGCGAAGGCGGCAUCCUGGACCGAGAUUGACGCUGAUGAGCGAAAGCUAGGGGAGCAAACGGG
rnacentral:rRNA from 1 species